rnacentral:misc_RNA from 1 species
GAUGAAGAACGUAGCGAAAUGCGAUAAGUAAUGUGAAUUGCAGAAUUCAGUGAAUCAUCGAAUCUUUGAACGCACCUUGCGCUCUUUGGUAUUCCGAAGAGCAUGCCUGUUUGAGUGUCAUGAAAAUAUCAACCUUGACUUGGGUUUUGUGCUCUAGUCUCGGCUUGGAAUUGGGUGCUUGCCGCUUUUACGAGCGGCUCACCUUAAAUGUAUUAUCUGGAUCUGUCUUUGAGACUUGGUUUGACUUGGCGUAAUAAGUAUUUCGCUAAGGACAUUCUUCGGAGUGGCCUCGUUUCUAGGACGCUUGUCCGCUUUCCAAUACAAGUUCCACCUCGUGGACAUGACUUUUUAUUAUCUGGCCUCAAAUCAGGUAGGACUACCCGCUGAACUUAAGCAUAUCAAUAAGCGGAGGA